rnacentral:sRNA from 1 species
GCCGGUGCCGCCCGGCAUUUCACUGAAACUCUCCACUCGAUACCGCUGAAUGUCCGUGACUGCCGUUGCAGCUGCUCAGUAUGGGGCCGGUAGCUAGCAGCUUAGUUUCUCGUGACAGCAAUGGAACUCAGACCCGUGCCGGGUCCGCAUAACUGUAAUACGCUUAAGUAAAAAAUCCCGCUUAAGUGGAAAUUCGUCUUAAGUGAAAAAUCCCGCUUAAGUGAAACUUGAUGAAAAUAACCAUUCAUUUUUGGUGUUAUUCUAUGCAUUCGCUUAACUGAAAAUAUCGCUAAAUUGAAAAUGUUUUUAAGUCCCAAAUUCCGUUUUUAUAUGAAACUGAAACGCACAAGUGAAAAAGUUAUUUCUAUGGGAGUCAAUGUGAAAUUGGAAAAAAUCGCCUCAUCAAUACAAUUCGCAACAACAUAUUUCAACACUUCAACACUUGUCUUUGGCUUUUAAAGGGCAACGGAAUUUCACUUAUCUGAACUACGCUUAACGGAAAAUAGCGAAUAAGUGAGGAUAAUUUUAAGCAUUUUACUUAUCCGGUUUCGACCGUCUCCCAAAUACCUUUCACUUGACACUAAAAUCGACCUGAUAGAGGUAAUGAUACGAAAUAUAUAGUUUUCAAAAAUUGCGGUAAAAAGGAGGAUGUUAUAUAAAAAACAUUUUUCCAAAUUUACAGAGCUAUACUAUACAAAAUUACCCAGCUAUACUGAUGUGGAAAAUAUUUUAAAAUGUCACAUGGGGUUAGCACAAUAGAUUUCUUCAAAUUUUAUCGAGAUUGGGGAAAAAUAAGAUCUUCAAUAUUUAGAGAUUUAUUUUGAAAAAAUAGAGACUCAAGAAGCCAUACAGAGGUUUCGUUUUAUUUUGAGACUAUAUCCAUUCAUUGACUUAAUCUGUGUGGGAUUUUGGUACUCCUGCGAAACUACCGCUGAAUAAUUUCUUCAGGCGUUUAGCGUCAUAGGCGAACAUGUGGCCUUUUACUUUGUUGUACUCACUUCACAAACGAGCUUUCGACAAAACUUCGUUAUAUGUGCGGCCUUUGAAGCCUCCACUUAGGAGGCAUUAGGUGAUUAAUCAAGUCCCCACCUAGGACAAAACGCGUCUCACUAUGGUUGGAGUGUGGUAAGCUAUGGCUUUCCUUUUCCAUUGCAAAAAAUCUUCAACCAUUAAGCACGUCUCGGAGGAGACAAACAAAUAUUGGAUAAAAUGAUGUUCUCCCUAAGAUGCAGAAAAAAUUGAAGUCUUCAUGAUUUCAUAAGCUCGCUCACUCGUUCGAUUGCGCCUAGCCAUUUAGAACAAUAGAACGCAUAAUUUUAGCAUUAAAAUCCUAAUUUCUUGAGUUUUACAACUGUCCUCCCCCUCCAACGCUUUGCUAAUGUAAAUGCUACAAUUUUUCUAAAUUGAAAAGUUGUUAUUGUUUUGAAUUUUAUAUAUUCUAAAUCGUAUAUAUGUAUGUAUGUAUGGCUAUGUAGUUUAGUGUAUUUGUUAUGUUUUCAAGUAUGUAAUAUUGAUUAAAUUAUAAAAAUCACAUUUACAUAAACUAUGAGUAAAAAUGUUGUUUGUUUUAGUAUUAGAAUGUGCCUUCAUUUAGUAAAGUUUAUGUAUCCGAAGUACAUGUGAACUCCACUUACUGCAUACUCGUAUUUGAAACCGCAUCUACCUUUAGUUCGAGCACUAUAAGACUCUUAAUUAAAUCAUUAAAAAUUUCAAUCGGGAAUACCUCACCUUGAAAUCUGUUAAUAUGAUAUUCAAAUAAUAAAUCUGAACUAUGUUAUAGAAACAUUCUCGAAAAUUUUAUAAGAGGAAGUAAAUAAAGUCUAGUUAUGUGUGUUAAAAAUUAAAA